rnacentral:lncRNA from 1 species
AGGUAUGAUGAUGACAUGCCUCAUAGCCCUUAAAAACUGUGUAACUUCUCAUAUGGACAUGGUGGCCCACACCUGUAAUCCUGGGAGGCCGAGGCAUCAGGGUCACAAGUUCAAGCCCAGGCUGAGGAAUUGGGCCACUUAGUGAGACCCAAGUCUCAAAAAAAGAAAAGGAGCUGAACAUCCAGUGCAAAGGCCCCGAGUUUAAUCCCCAGUACCCCCCCCUACAGAAGAGAAAAAGAGUUGUACUCUCUCACUUCUCCAAAAAGUCCCUGAGAAUAGGAAUGGCAGCUGGGAAAGACAUGGGUGCCAAAAACAAGAAGAAAAGGGUGAUUCCAGGCAAUGCAGCUAUAACCAAGAAUCAGGCUAUGGUAGGAGACCCUGUGUGUGUCCUGCAGAUGAUUGAAACUUUCGCAAAGUGA